GAAUCCAUGUGGAUGGCAGUCUUUAGAUGAAAGAGUUUCUAUGCCUGACUUGGUGAGUUAUUUUUCCUUUGCAAGGAUCUUAAGUAUGAUGAAUGGGCAAAGUUAAAGACCGUUUGUAAAACAUACUGAAAUUAGAAAAAAAUAUAUGAAACUAGAAGAUAUGAACCACCUCAAAGGAUUACCGUUUGUAAGAAAAUAUGAAGCUGACAAUGACAGAUUUUCUUGAGGAUUAGAGCUAUCCAAGAAGCUGCAUCAAAGAUGAUUCUGGUUUGCUACAGGGAUUCUCAUGCAUGAGGUAAAGAACAGAGCUAUGGAUAAGCCAAUACAUGGGAAAGCUACCGGUUGGAUUUUUGAGUCGUGAUGACAAAUGCUGCGAAUGAGGCUUGUCUGUCGUUUUAUAGAGAUAUAGCCUGAUCGAAUUGUGAAGCUUUCAUCUGUUAAAGGAAUCUAUGUUGGCACAUUUGAAAAGCUUGAGAAAUGACCAUUUGACCAGUCCAUCAGAUGACACCCUGUAGAAUGUGCAUCUUUUGAUUUAAACAGAAGGUGCAGCCACAAGAGCAACUACCCUGUCUAUGAGUGUGGUGUGUUCCCAGAUUUCGCACUUAGAGAUUGACCAUAUUCCAAGGAAACUCUAGUCUACACUUGUAUUUAGGAUUUCUUCAAUUCUGUGUAUUCAAUAAUACUGUCUUCAGUUCUGUAUAUUAUUCUCAUGAUGCUAUACAUUUUCUCUGACAUUUUGCUGAAGAAUACAUUAUUGCUAGAUGUAAAAGUGGACGAGUAUUACAAUAUACUAGCACAUUGUAAAGUAUGUGAUCUUGUAAAUUAUCUUCCAUCUUGUGUCAAAAGAAAUUGCUAGAUUGCAUUUUAAUCA